UGCAGCUCGAGGACACUUUGCAGAGAUGGAAAUGUUCUGUGGCCUAUGCUACUCAACGGUCACCACUAGCCACCUUCAGCUGGAGUACCUGGGGUGUGGCUUGAGAGAAGACAAUGAAUUGAAACAGCUGAUGGGAUGGCCUAAAGGAUGUCACCAAGCACAGGGACAGCGGGACAGAGCCUGGCCACUGCUCUAGAGCCGCUUGCAGCCUGCACCCAGUUAGAGCUGACCUUACCGUUCUGCUCCCCACUGCAUCUCCCCCAGGGACAACGAGACCCCUCAGCCCCUUCCGCCACGUGCGUCAGCCUUCCCUGGGGUCAUUCAACAGGGAGAACUGUCUCUCCCUGCAGCUCUGCUGUCCCUGGCCCAUGCUGUCUGCUGCCCCGGGGAUUCUGCAGGGAACUCCUUCUGACCCUGCUGCAGUUCUUAGUGCCAGGGUUCCCAGUGGCAGCAGGACCUCCGAGCAAGGCCCAGAUCUGCCUUCCAUGGACUUCAGUGGCCGUUUAUCAUAAGGCAGUGGGAGCUGGCCAGCAGAGGGACUGAGAUGCGACCCGGGGCCCCAGCUGGUGCUCCUCUGGGUUCCCACCAUUCCCCUUUGUGCUUUGUAAACUCCUUUUGUGUUUGGUCUU